AAGGUACUCCCUCUAUUCCAAAUUACUCGUUGCAGAAAUGGAUGUAUCUAGAACUAAAAUACAUCUAGAUACAUCCAUACAUGUGACAAGUAAUUCAGAACGGAGGGAGUAUAAG
rfam:Triticum aestivum genome assembly, contig: Triticum_aestivum_CS42_TGACv1_scaffold_094078_2AL